rnacentral:rRNA from 1 species
GACGAACGCUGGCGGCGCGCCUAACACAUGCAAGUCGAAGGAGCGAGAGGGAGCUGGCUUUCUUGACCGAGUGGCGAACGGGUGAGUAACGCGUGAGGAACCUGCCUAAAAGAGGGGGACAACAGUUGGAAAGGACUGCUAAUACCGCAUAAGCCCACGCUGCCGAUUGGCACAGAGGGAAAAGGGGCAAUCCGCUUUGAGAUGGCCUCGCUUCCGAUUAGCUAGUUGGUGAGGUAACGGCCCACCAUGGCGACGAUCGGUAGCCGGACUGAGGGGUUGAACGGUCACGUUGGGACUGAGACCCGGCCCAGACUCCUACGGGAGGCAGCAGUGGGGAAUAUUGCACAAUGGGGGAAACCCGGAUGCAGCGACGCCGCGUGGAGGAAGAAGGUCUUCGGAUUGUAAACUCCUGUUGUUGGGGAAGAUAAUGACGGUACCCAACAAGGAAGUGACGGCUAACUACGUG